rnacentral:rRNA from 1 species
UAGGGAAUCUUCCACAAUGGACGCAAGUCUGAUGGAGCAACGCCGCGUGAGUGAAGAAGGUUUUCGGACCGUAAAGCUCUGUUGUUGGUGAAGAAGGAUAGAGGUAGUAACUGGCCUUUAUUUGACGGUAAUCAACCAGAAAGUCAUGGCUAACUACGUGCCAGCAGCCGCGGUAAUACGUAGGUGGCAAGCGUUGUCCGGAUUUAUUGGGCGUAAAGCGAGCGCAGGCGGAAGAAUAAGUCUGAUGUGAAAGCCCUCGGCUUAACCGAGGAAUUGCAUCGGAAACUGUUUUUCUUGAGUGCAGAAGAGGAGAGUAGAACUCCAUGUGUAGCGGUGGAAUGCGUAGAUAUAUGGAAGAAUACCAGUGGCGAAGGCGGCUCUCUGGUCUGCAACUGACGCUGAGGCUCGAAAGCAUGGGUAGCGAACAGGAUUAGAUACCCUGGUAGUCCAUGCCGUAAACGAUGAGUGCUAAGU